rnacentral:snRNA from 1 species
GUGCUCACUUAGGCAGUACAUAUGCUAAAAUUGGAACAAUACAGCCCCUGCGCAAGGAAGAUACACAAAUUUGUGAACCUUCCAUAUUAAA